rnacentral:tRNA from 1 species
UAGACGCUACGGACUUAAAAUCCGUCGACUUUAGAAAUCGUGA